rnacentral:tRNA from 1 species
AGAAUGGUAGUUAAAAAUAACAUUUAGUUUGCAACUAAAAAGUACUAAAUUAGUCCAUUUUA